GGGAGGAUAUCAAAAGCGGAUGGAACUAGUUGGGGAGAAUAUGAGUCUCCAAUUUUGACUGAUGUCUCAUAAAGCUUCUAGAAAUGGGUUAAACCUUUGAAUCUAGCCAGCAAGCAUCAUUUAAAGGAAUUGACUUGCAUGUCGAGUUGUUUGGCAUGGCAUCCAUGAAUCUAAACUUCCAUCCUUGUCAUUUAAUGUGAAGUAACGUUUUGGUGGAUUAUGUUAUUGAAGGUGGUCUUAUUUGACAAGAAUUGACGGGGUUGUUGGCGGCUGUGACGCUUCAGACUCAGUAACUACAAAAAACUAAUUUGAUUUUUUU
rnacentral:lncRNA from 1 species